AGCGAACCCUAGGGAGAGACAGAGCGACUGACCGACGAUGAUGGCGACUGAGUGAGGCGAUGUAGCGUCGGACUGGGCCGAUGGGCCGCUUACUUUUCUUGUGUUCCCACCCGAGCGAGAAAGCUGGCGCAGGCUAGUUUCUGCUCGUAUCGUUCGAUGGCUGAUGGACGGUGCAGCGCGAAGAACGUCCCUCGGCAGUAGAACUUCCCAAGUCAGACCAUUUUCGGUAACUGACGGAAGAGAGAGGGAGAACAGGCGACCGACACGCAAAUGUAGUUCCUCAUGCAGCCAAUCAGGAGAUCCACUCUGAUUGAGGAGGUCGGAGAGAGUAUGGUGUCAGAAGAUUCGGCGCCGCAGCAGGCCACGGGUGUGCGCGGUGAAAAGCUGAUCUGCGGGGCGUCUGGAGCGGCGGUAAUCGACGGGGAAGAUGAAUCCCCAGGCUCUUGGUUGGAAUAAGAGGGUGAGGAUCGGUGCUGCUGCCCCUGGAAGGACGCCUUGAGGCAUCGGAAUUGCCCACCGGGAAGAUGAACCUGCAGGCACUUGGUUGGGCUAAGAGGUGCGUCCUCAUUAAUCUCGGUGUGUAGUUUUCAAUUUUUAGCUGGCAUGGAGCAGGUUUGCAUGAAUAGGUUUGGGCAUCUGGUAAUUUUCUUAGACUGAGUUCUGGUGGGCAUGAUGGUGUGUAAUGGAUUAUCAGAUGUAGAUCCCCUAGUAAACUUUUGUGGAGAAUCGUUAAAUUUUUGAGUGAAUAGGGCAUUCGUAUUUUGCAAGACAGUUGGGAAUGUUCGGCUUUUAAUUAUUGACACAGAAAAUAGAGAAGUAUAAUGUUGAACCUGAUGCAAUUUUUCGUUGAUCUUCAGAAUUGAGUAAGUGCCGGUAUCCUGCAAGAUUUAAUAUAUGUGGCUAGAAUUCCGGGUACAUGGCCUGUGGAAUUAUAGUGUGAUGACAAUUAGCAAUGGAUUGUCAGAUGUAAAUCCGUAGUCUAAACUGGUAUAUCUAUCUCCGCCGUGGUAGAUGGCGAAUCCGGGGUGCUCUAAUCUCUAAUUUGCGGACUAUCUUUUUUUAUGGCCAUGGUUGUGUGCAGGUUCCCGUUUGUUGACGAGGUGGAUGAGAGCGCAGUUCCAAUGGAUCCGGCGGAUCCGGUUGACGUGGUUUCGUUCCAGCGACACGCAAGGGGGCUGGCAGUUCGCCGGCGCUGGCCAUGAGUGCGGCCGCACAGAUCUGUGAGGAGGGAAGGGGUGGGGAGGAUAGACGUGAGUCGUCAUGGCAGGUAUCGGAAAUUUCCACGGGGAAGAUGACCCCGCCGCCACCCAGAUGGGCUAAGGCCCUCCACUAUGUGCUCAAUGCCACAUUUCUGAAAAGCAGGCCACUUACAUGCAGAUGCCAGUUAAACUUUUUUUAGCACUGGUCACACAGUGUAGGAGAUUUGGCAUCGACGCCAGCUCGGGCCCAAGCACAUAUAAACUAGUAAUAAAUUACCCAACAAACAGUGUCUUGGGCUGUUGGUUCUCGUAAGAAAGGACAGUGACAUGCUUAGAAUUUUUUUACUUGGCACCGGGCUGGACAAUGUAGGGCAUCGGUGCUAAAUGUCAAAAAGCAAACUUGGCACCGGUUAUGGCCUACAUAGUGGAAGGCUUAAGAGGUUAGUCAGCUCGAAUCCCUUAUGCAUUUUUUCCAUUUACUAAACUUUGGAAAUUGAUAUAGUUGCGGAAGUUUGCAUUUGAGAAAAUUGUAAGGGCGUAUGCAGAGAACCUGUCAGAGAACGUCAUUGUGCCGAUGUUGGGCGCAAGCUUUGAUUCGCUAGCAACCUCGGAAGCGCUGAUGUCAACCUCAGAAGUGUGCGAGGUGUAAGAAUUGUGGGGUUGAGGGCCAUAGGAGAAACACCUGCACGGCUGCACCAAGGCAAUGGAGAUGAGGUUAGCAAAUGUGUGAUGCUGGAGUGUAGUGCAUAGUGCUAGGUCUGACGGGCUGUUUUUGGUUAGUUGUAAACCUAUGCUGUUGUGUUCUGGAUUAUUUCUGGUUUUGCGUUGCACUGAUUUGCACUUGGCAAGCUGAAAUACAGUUAAAAAUCUGGCUUUGUUUCAGUUAAUUAAUUGCCCAUGGUGGGAA